UGACCCAGGUGCGUCGUCCCAGACACCCGAUGUUACAAGACCGUUAUAAAAAGUCUCAUUUUCACUGUUCUUCGUGCCUCUAAGUCCAUUCUUUGGGUUUGAACGGGUUGGGUAUUUCCUUCAGCCUAUUAAAGGAAUUGGGAACCUGUGGUACCUUCCUUUGAGUGUCACGGGAGUACCAUCUCUUUACCUUGGCAAGAGCAGAUCCUUCAUAUCUGUAGUUGAAUCACACACUCUCAGAUAUCUGAGCUUGAAUUCUACAGGGACACUUAUCUCAGCUUUUGAGUUUUAGGAGAAAUAGCCUGCAGACCAGAGAAUAAGGAAAAGUUGUUUCCUGCCAAAGAACAAGCAGUAUUGUGAAAUAUAAAAUUUUAUUGUUGCGGUGAAAGAAAAUUUCAGUAUCAAAUUUUUGAAAACAUCAUCUGAGGUUGUGACUGGUCGCCCCCUCCCUCUUUGCAGUUAUGAUGUGACAUUUCACUUGCUUCACAAUCCAUCUCUUUGUAAAAACUGACUACCAUCUCUGGACUGGUUUCGGCUGACUGGUAAGCAUGCCCAGUGAGGGUUUCUUGUCCUCUCUUCACCUUUUGAUAUCAGAAGGCUGAAAACUCCACCCUUGGAUCAUGCUAAUGACAUCAUUUUUUGAACAUGUGACCUACAAUGAGGCAUGAAGCUCAAUUGCACAUACACAUUUCUCCUUUCGUAAAUAUUCAUGGCUCCUCCUAUAGCUUAUUGAAUAUGCAUACUUAGCCAAAGCAUGUAGCAUAAAUUCCUGUCUUAUCUUUCCCUCUCUCAAAGUGCUUGCACUCAGCUUCUGACAGGAGGCUACCCUUCCCAGCCCUCCAGGGAGCAGGUUACAAGAUGUCCAGCCUGCAGGCUGCAACCCUUUAAAAGAAAUAAAGCUGUUCUUUCCAAAUUUAGACACCUCAUGAUGCUUCAGUUGACACAACCCUCACGGCUUCAUGAGGAAGACAGGGGAUCUCAGAAAGGGGUCAGAGGCACCUCUCCUCCAUUCCUCAAGGAGUCUUUGGGGUUGUCAGAAGUGUCCCUUAGGUUUCUUUGUCAAUCUCCAAAACUGCCAAAAGACAAAAUUA
rnacentral:lncRNA from 10 species